GGUGGCUAACAGGUCCAUCAUUACCAUGUUUUUGGUACAUAAAGCUGAAUAAACAGUGUUUUCUUUGCUAUAAAUGAGGUAAACGGUGCAGGAUCUUAUGUUUGGUGGCUAACAGGUCCAUCAUUACCAUGUUUUUGGUACAUAAAGCUGAAUAAACAGUAUUUUCUUUGUUAUAAAUGAGGUAAACGGUGCAGGAUCUUAUGUUUGGUGGCUAACAGGUCCAUCAUUACCAUGUUUUUGGUACAUAAAGCUGAAUAAACAGUGUUUUCUUUGCUAUAAAUGAGGUAAACGGUGCAGGAUCUUAUGUUUGGUGGCUAACAGGUCCAUCAUUACCAUGUUUUUGGUACAUAAAGCUGAAUAAACAGUGUUUUCUUUGUUAUAAAUGAGGUAAACGGUGCAGGAUCUUAUGUUUGGUGGCUAACAGGUCCAUCAUUACCAUGUUUUUGGUACAUAAAGCUGAAUAAACAGUGUUUUCUUUGUUAUAAAUGAGGUAAACGGUGCAGGAUCUUAUGUUUGGUGGCUAACAGGUCCAUCAUUACCAUGUUUUUGGUACAUAAAGCUGAAUAAACAGUGUUUUCUUUGCUAUAAAUGAGGUAAACGGUGCAGGAUCUUAUGUUUGGUGGCUAACAGGUCCAUCAUUACCAUGUUUUUGGUACUUUAAGCUGAAUAAACAGUGUUUUCUUUGCUAUAAAUGAGGUAAACGGUGCAGG